rnacentral:tRNA from 1 species
AGAGGUGUAGUUCAGUGGUAGAGCAAGUGUGAGGUCCUGGGUUCAAUUCCCAGUGCCACAA